GAGAGAGAGAAGGUGGCGUGUGUUCUUUCUGCUACACUCGAGUUGUGUGGUACCUUCUACUGAUCUUUUCGCGAAUCCAAUUAAAGAUGUUGAUUUUGAAGAAGAAAAAGAUCCUGUGCGGAAUUUUUUCUCGCGGAACAAUGAACAAUAUUUCCAGGUGUUAACGAAGGGAAGUUAUUUUUAGAUAUAAUUCAAUUAUUCUGAGCGAAUUAGGAAGAGGCAGUUUGUUAAAUUCGUAGAGUUGUUAGUAGUUUUAUAAAAUAUUUUUGAAUACUUAAAAUACUCGUCUAAGCUUCUAAUUCUAUAAGCUUUCUAUUCUAGCCAAUUAUUAGCUUUGACUAGCGAAAAGCAAUACGUAUUCUAAUCUCCGUGUGUAAUAUAAAUUGUAUUUAUUUCUUUCCUUUCGUAUCAUUAUACUUUUAUAUUAUUUGUCGAAAUAUAAAUAUCCAAUCUUUUCCAUCUACAAUAAUUUCGAAGAAAAAAGAUAAAAAAAAAAAAGUUGGAAAAGACCGUCACUCGAUGUCUUUGCAACUCAUCGCCAUCAUCAGUUACGAUCAAACACUUUCCGGUCUUCCGCGCUCGACUUUACAUAAUCCAAAUACUGUUCGUACUGCCGAACGAAAAGAGCGUUCCUUUCAGUGACUAAAUCAACCAAGAGAGCGGCUCGUAUGCUCACCGGAAGCCCUUGAACGAAUAGAAGAAAAGCGAUGGUCCGACUCGGUGUGAUCCAAUUAGCGACACGCGCUUAAAAGCGGAUCCACACUCGGUGUUCUAGCCACCGUAUAACACCGUUGCGACACGGCUUAUCCUUUCACGGUCGUUUCCGUGUCGAUGGGAUAGUUAUUGCGGGAUUUAAGCUUAUCGUUAUAACGCUCGUUUCGAGACGAAUGCGGCAGACGUUCGACGUAAAAAAAUCAUCGCGAGAAUUGGAAAAAUACGAUACCAAACAACAAAUUUCUACCAUCGAAGGAUCGUCAGAAGAGUAGACUGAUAAUACCGAUAGAAAGCUUAUUCUAACUAGAUUACCGGCCGAGGAAACUGACCGAAAAUGUCGACACGCGUCUGCCUUCAGCUUGGUCGAGCGUGUGAUUUGCUUUCGUCGUGCAUCAACGACUGCCCUCUAUCGUGAUAAGUAAUUUUCGGCCGAUCAACGAGAUCGUGUGGAGACCAAUCGCCUUUUUAAAACUAUUUUCGUUGUCGAGAAGCGGACGCGAUUCCAUGCUUUGAUCGAUCAACUGGUUGUUAGUUUACGCCGAGUGUUUCGUUGUGGCGAUUUUUAGGUCGUGAAGCGAGGAUUUUUGCAAACAUUACGCCCUCGAAUUCUCUCUACAGCCUAUACAUAUCCUAUCCUACGUCUAUUCCUCGAAAGACAUCGAAGUGGCUCACAGCAAAAAACGGGAAGAACGGCUCAGCCAAGGCUCUAAAAUAUUCGCGGAAGCGUGAUCGGUCGCCGUAUCAAAGGGAACACUCACUUUCUUCCGGAUGCUUGACGGUGGAGAAGCAGCCGUCCGCCGACAAGUAGAGCAACAGCGCCCCGUUCGCGGGCAGCUCCUUGAAGCCGCUCGCGAGGAAUACCUGUACCUGGCUGUAGGUCGGCUUGUA